rnacentral:rRNA from 1 species
CCAAUAGCGUAUAUUAAAGUUGUUGCAGUUAAAAAGCUCGUAGUUGAAUUUCGGGAUUGACACAUCGGUCGUGCCUUAAGGGGUAUGAACUGGUGUAGUCAAUUUCUCACCUUCUGGAGAACCGCGAUGCCCUUAAUUGGGUGUCACGGGGAACCAGGACCUUUACUUUGAAAAAAUUAGAGUGUUUAAAGCAGGCAUUUUGCUUGAAUACAUUAGCAUGGAAUAAUAAAAUAGGACGGCAUGAUUCUAUUUUGUUGGUUUCUAGGAUCACCGUAAUGAUUAAUAGGGAUAGUUGGGGGCAUUAGUAUUCAAUUGUCAGAGGUGAAAUUCUUGGAUUUAUUGAAGACUAACUACUGCGAAAGCAUUUGCCAAGGAUGUUUUCAUUAAUCAAGAACGAAAGUUAGGGGAUCGAAGACGAUCAGAUACCGCCGUAGUCUUAACCAUAAACUAUGCCGACUAGGAAUCAGACGAUGUUAAUUUUUUAAUGACUCGUUUGGCACCUUACG